CAGUCGCCACGGUAAUACGUAGGGGGCAAGCGUUAUCCGGAACUACUGGGUGUAAAGGGAGCGUAGACGGUUAAACAAGUCUGAAGUGAAAUGCCGGGGCUCAACCCCGGAGCUGCUUUGGGAACUGUAGAACUGGAGUGUCGGAGGGGUAAGCGGAAUUCCCAGUGUAGCGGUGAAAUGCGUAGAUAUUGGGAGGAACACCGGCGGCGAAGGCGGCUUACUGGACGACAACUGACGUUGAGGCUCGAAGGCGUGGGUAGCAAACAGGAUUAGAUACCCCUGUAGUCCCUGUCUCUUAUAC
rnacentral:rRNA from 1 species